CCUACGGGGGUCAGCAGUAGGGAAUCUUCCACAAUGGGCGAAAGCCUGAUGGAGCAACGCCGCGUGGGUGAAGAAGGUUUUCGGAUCGUAAAACCCUGUUGUUAGAGAAGAAAGUGCGUGAGAGUAACUGUUCACGUUUCGACGGUAUCUAACCAGAAAGCCACGGCUAACUACGUGCCAGCAGCCGCGGUAAUACGUAGGUGGCAAGCGUUAUCCGGAUUUAUUGGGCGUAAAGGGAACGCAGGCGGUCUUUUAAGUCUGAUGUGAAAGCCUUCGGCUUAACCGGAGUAGUGCAUUGGAAACUGGGAGACGUGAGUGCAGAAGAGGAGAGUGGAACUCCAUGUGUAGCGGUGAAAUGCGUAGAUAUAUGGAAGAACACCAGUGGCGAAAGCGGCUCUCUGGUCUGUAACUGACGCUGAGGUUCGAAAGCGUGGGUAGCAAACAGGAUUAGAUACCCCUGUAGUC
rnacentral:rRNA from 1 species